rnacentral:SRP_RNA from 12 species
GCCGGGUGCAGUGGCGCGCGCCUGUAAUCCAAGCUGCUGGGAGGCUGAGGCUGGCGGAUCGCUUGAGUUCAGGGGUUCUGGGCUGCAGUGGACUAUGUCGAUCGGGUGUCCGCGCUAAGUUCGGUAUCGAUAUGGUGCUCCUGGGGGAGCUCGGGACCACCAGGUCGUCUAAGGAGGGGUGAACCGGCCCAGGUCGGAGACGGAGCAGCUAGGUCAAAGCCCCCGUGCCGAUCAGUAGUGGGGUCGCACCUGUGAAUAGACACUGCAGUACAGCCUGAGCGAUACAGCGAGACUCAGUCUUUU